ensembl:lncRNA
CCCCGGGCCCCACCCACCGUCACGCCCCGCCCCGGACCGGCCCCGCCCCGGACCGGCCCCGCCCCGGCCGCAUCCCGCCUCCGGCCUCUGGCGAGGGUCUGCCGUUCGCCCCCAGCCCAGCUUCUCCAGACUUUAGUGCAGACCCUAACCGGGAGCCGUGACCCCAGACUCUGGCCGCGCAGGUGCCCCUCGGUAGCCGCGGGAGGGAGAACCUGCCACCCUCGCCCCUCCCCGGUUCACCCCGGUCCUGCCUCUCCGCUAACGCCUCCUGGAAGAGGGUCCUAAGAGCCUCGCGGCCCGCCACCAGCCUGGUCCCUCUGCAGACAGCCUCCUCCCAUCCCACUCUCCCUCCAUCCCCCGGCCUGACGGGUGAGAUGGGUUCCGCCACCAGCAGGUAAUUACUGAGUGCCCGCCAUGUGCCGUGUACCAUGCCAGGUGCUAGGACCAGAGCUGGCAGCAAGAUGUACUCUCUAUCCUUAAGGAUCCCAUGGUGGGAUGGGAAACAGAUGGCCAUCCACCACAGGAUGGAUGCAAAAAUUGUGAGACAGUCCCAGGUGGCGCUAGUGGUAAAGAACCCACCUGCCAAUGCAGGAGACAUAACAGACGCAGGUUCGAACCCUGGACCAGGAAGAUCCCCUGGAGGAGGGCGUGGCAACCCACUCCAGUAUUCUUGCCUGGAAAAUCCCAUGGACAGAGGAGCCUGAUGGCUAUGGCCCUUAGGGCCGCACAGAGCCAGACGCGACUGAGCCACAAAGCACGGCGCACGACGGACUGAUAGCACCUUACUAGUGCUGUGGCCACGGAGCCCAGCACGGGAUCUGACCUAGAGCAGGCUCUCCAUGUCUGUUUCUGCAAAAGUAAAUAAACGCAAUCGCCUCUGUAAUCCGGAGCUCCACAGAGAGAUUAGACGGAGAACAAAGUUAAGGAAAAGCAUGGCCCCCAGUGUGCACGGGCCCAACGCUCUACGUGUGCGAGUAUGCCUGUGUACAUGUGUACCUGGGCACACAUGUGCAUGAGGGCCACGGGCAGAGCCACUCUGCCAGCACUCCGAUCUAGCCUAACCAGCCGGGUCCUCAUCCAGGAGCCACCACCAAGUAAGGUGUUGUGGACUGUGUGUUUGUGUCCCUUCAAAAUUCAUCGUGAAGCCCUAGCCUCAGCGGGAUGAUAUUUGAAGAUGGGUCACGGGGAGUGGGACUUCCUUAGUGGUCCAGUGGUUAGGACUCCCCACUCCCAGUGGAGGGGAUUCCUUCCCUGGGCAGAGAACUAGAUCCCGCAUGCUGCAGCUGAAGAUCCUGUACUCUGCAAUGACGCCCCAGUG